CCCAGAGGCCUGCUGCUAAGUGGAGUGCAGGCCCCGUUCCAGCGCCCACCUCUGAGCCUGAGCGGGCGGAGAGGGGCGGGAGGCAGCCGGAAGGCAGGUGCCUUGAAGACCCGCUGCACAGAUGGGGGCCCGGCUCCAAAACAGGCCUGGCUGGCUGGAGAGGUGCGUCCCAGACACCCAGGGGUGAGCUGGCCCGUGAGGGGCAGGCUGGAGACAGAGGUGCCUUGGAAAGCGAGGCCAAAGCACAGGAUUUUAGGACACUUGCCCUCCUCACGGGUGCCACCCCUGACACCUGUGCCAUGGUGGAUGUGCAUGCCAACUCACCCUGGGUUUUCCGUGUGUAUGCGACGUCUGCAUACGGCCGGACUCGUCCACGUAUUUCUGCAGGACAUAGACUCCCAGGGUGACAGUUUUCUCAUCACACCCCAUCAAGCUUCCAAGUUGUCGAGGUGUUUAUAGCUCACUUCAUUUUCCUGACUCCUGCGCAGGCUGUCUCAUCGUCAUGGCAACGUGCUGCUGCCUGAGUCUGUGAGGAACGCUCCUGCUGGUCCACUCCAGGCCCGCCAUAGCUCCCCUCUUUUGGGGUACCAAAAUGUCCAUCCCUUCUGACCUUAUGAAGAGUCAACAGGUUUUCAGUUGUUUUAUUUUUUAAAAAAGAAACUGAAGUUUAUUAACAUUAUUUUCAACAUUUGUUGAGAUAAUCAUGAGGUCUUCCUCCUUUUGUUAAUGUAGAGCAUUUUAUUAAUUCCCAAACUCCUUCCUCCUUGGGAUACAAUUUUCUUGUGUUUAUAUAUAACUUCAUUUAUUCAGUACAUUCACUGAGCACCUACUGUGUGCCAGGCACCUUCCCAGAUCCUAGAAAAGCAGUGAAGCAGACAGAGCCCCUGCUCUCC